UAGGGAAUCUUCCGCAAUGGGCGAAAGCCUGACGGAGCAACGCCGCGUGAGUGAUGAAGGUCUUCGGAUCGUAAAACUCUGUUAUUAGGGAAGAACAAAUGUGUAAGUAACUAUGCACGUCUUGACGGUACCUAAUCAGAAAGCCACGGCUAACUACGUGCCAGCAGCCGCGGUAAUACGUAGGUGGCAAGCGUUAUCCGGAAUUAUUGGGCGUAAAGCGCGCGUAGGCGGUUUUUUAAGUCUGAUGUGAAAGCCCACGGCUCAACCGUGGAGGGUCAUUGGAAACUGGAAAACUUGAGUGCAGAAGAGGAAAGUGGAAUUCCAUGUGUAGCGGUGAAAUGCGCAGAGAUAUGGAGGAACACCAGUGGCGAAUGCGACUUUCUGGUCUGUAACUGACGCUGAUGUGCGAAAGCGUGGGGAUCAAACAGG
rnacentral:rRNA from 1 species